GCCGCCCAUCCCCUUACCACACUCAACCUCCCUCUUUACCGCUUUUCUAUUAAUCAACAUAAUGAUUAUUAUAAGACCUAUUCCGAAGGGCUCGUCGGAGAGACCAUUGUGGUUGCAUAAUAAAUGAAUAUGAUACUCAAGGCUAUGCCCCCCACAAUCAUCCAUUUGAGGGUUGUAUCCCCACCCUCUAUAUCAUCUGUGGGAACUUCUAUAACGUCGAUCAUUGGGAUUUCGUUCUCGAACGGAAUGAGCUGUUGAUCUAUGAUCAGAUAUAUAUCUGGGAGGAUUUCCAAGGGGUAAUGGCUUACCCACCCAUAGUAGAACACCAUUAGUAAUGGAGUGAUAGUUCCUGCAUUCGUUACAUUGACUAACCUUCUGAUUCUUUCACUCACUGCUGCUGAGUUGCCAAAAGCAUGAAGGGGGUAUUUUAGAUUGUUCACACUCAGUGAAUCAGGAGAAAUAAUCCUUUGUGGAAAGACAAUAGGCUUGACUUCUACCCUGGAUAGCAGUAUUGGAAGUAUUCCAAAUGGAAGUACCCCAACAGGAAGUACCUCAAAUAGGCGG
rnacentral:misc_RNA from 1 species